rnacentral:rRNA from 1 species
CGGAUAACAUACCGAAAAGGUAUGCUAAUACGGGAUAACAUAUGAGAGUCGCAUGGCUUUUGUAUCAAAGCUUCCGGCGGUACAGGAUGGACCCGCGUCUGAUUAGCUAGUUGGUAAGGUAACGGCUUACCAAGGCAACGAUCAGUAGCCGACCUGAGAGGGUGAUCGGCCACAUUGGAACUGAGACACGGUCCAAACUCCUACGGGAGGCAGCAGUGGGGAAUAUUGCACAAUGGGCGAAAGCCUGAUGCAGCAACGCCGCGUGAGCGAUGAAGGCCUUCGGGUCGUAAAGCUCUGUCCUCAAGGAAGAUAAUGACGGUACUUGAGGAGGAAGCCCCGGCUAACUACGUGCCAGCAGCCGCGGUAAUACGUAGGGGGCUAGCGUUAUCCGGAAUUACUGGGCGUAAAGGGUGCGUAGGCGGUCUUUCAAGCCAGAAGUGAAAGGCUACGGCUCAACCGUAGUAAGCUUUUGGAACUGUAGGACUUGAGUGCAGGAGAGGAGAGUGGAAUUCCUAGUGUAGCGGUGAAAUGCGUAGAUAUUAGGAGGAACACCAGUAGCGAAGGCGGCUCUCUGGACUGUAACUGACGCUGAGGCACGAAAGCGUGGGGAGCAAACAGGAUUAGAUACCCUGGUAGUCCMCGCCGUAAACGAUGAGUACUAGGUGUCGGGGGUUMCCCCCCUCGGUGCCGYAGCUAACCCAUUAAGUA